GAUGAACGCUAGCGGCAGGCUUAAUACAUGCAAGUCGAGGGGCAGCAGUUUUGUAGCAAUACAGAAGCUGGCGACCGGCAAACGGGUGCGGAACACGUACGCAACCUUCCUCUAACUGGAAGAUAGCCCACCGAAAGGUGGAUUAAUACUCCAUAAUAUAUUGAAGAGGCAUCUUUUUGAUAUUAAAGCUCCGGCGGUUAAAGAUGGGCGUGCGUCUGAUUAGGUAGUUGGCGGGGUAACGGCCCACCAAGCCUUCGAUCAGUAGCUGAUGUGAGAGCAUGAUCAGCCACAAGGGCACUGAGACACGGGCCCGACUCCUACGGGAGGCAGCAGUAAGGAAUAUUGGACAAUGGACGCAAGUCUGAUCCAGCCAUGCCGCGUGAAGGAUUAAGGUCCUCUGGAUUGUAAACUUCUUUUAUAAGGGACGAAAAAAGGCUUUUCUAAGUCGUCUGACGGUACCUUAUGAAUAAGCACCGGCUAACUCCGUGCCAGCCGCCGCAGUAA
rnacentral:rRNA from 1 species